rnacentral:rRNA from 1 species
UACGGGAGGCAGCAGUGGGGAAUAUUGCACAAUGGGCGCAAGCCUGAUGCAGCCAUGCCGCGUGUAUGAAAAAGGCCUUCGGGUUGUAAAGUACUUUCAGUCGUGAGGAAGGUGUUAAGGUUAAUAACCUUAGCAAUUGACGUUAGCGACAGAAGAAGCACCGGCUAACUCCGUGCCAGCAGCCGCGGUAAUACGGAGGGUGUAAGCGUUAAUCGGAAUUACUGGGCGUAAAGCGCACGCAGGCGGUCUGUCAAGUCGGAUGUGAAAUCCCCGGGCUCAACCUGGGAACUGCAUUCGAAACUGGCAGGCUAGAGUCUUGUAGAGGGGGUAGAAUUCCAGGUGUAGCGGUGAAAUGCGUAGAGAUCUGGAGGAAUACCGGUGGCGAAGGCGGCCCCUGGACAAAGACUGACGCUCAGGUGCGAAAGCGUGGGGAGCAAACAGGGAUUAGAUACC